GAUGAAGAACGUAGCGAAAUGCGAUAAGUAAUGUGAAUUGCAGAAUUCAGUGAAUCAUCGAAUCUUUGAACGCACCUUGCGCUCCUUGGUAUUCCGAGGAGCAUGCCUGUUUGAGUGUCAUGAAAUUCUCAACCUUUUCAGCUUUCUUUGUUGAUCAGGCUUGGAUGUGGGAGUAUGCGGGCUUCUCAGAAGUCGGCUCUCCUGAAAUGCAUUAGCGGGACCUUUGUUGCCUGGCUUUGGUGUGAUAAUUAUCUACGCCAUUGUAGUCAAGCAGCUUAAAAUGAGGUUUCAGCUUCUAACCGUCUCCCCUGAGACAACUUUUUGACAAUUUUACCUCAAAUCAGGUAGGACUACCCGCUGAACUUAAGCAUAUCAAUAAGCGGAGGA
rnacentral:misc_RNA from 1 species